GAUGAACGCUGGCGGCGUGCUUAACACAUGCAAGUCGAACGAUGAAGCCCAGCUUGCUGGGUGGAUUAGUGGCGAACGGGUGAGUAACACGUGAGUAACCUGCCCUUAACUCUGGGAUAAGCCUGGGAAACUGGGUCUAAUACCGGAUAGGAGCGUCCACCGCAUGGUGGGUGUUGGAAAGAUUUAUCGGUUUUGGAUGGACUCGCGGCCUAUCAGCUUGUUGGUGAGGUAAUGGCUCACCAAGGCGACGACGGGUAGCCGGCCUGAGAGGGUGACCGGCCAAAAGGGGACGGAGAAACGGCCAAGACUCCUACGGGAGGAAGCAGUGGGGAAUAUUGAACAAUGGGCGCAAGCCUGAGGCAGCGACGCGGGGGGGGGGAGGACGGCCUUCGGGUUGUAAACCUCUUUCAGAAGGAAGAAGCGAAAGUGACGGUACCUGCAGAAGAAGCACCGGCUAACUACGUG
rnacentral:rRNA from 1 species